GCUCUGGGCAGUACGAUUCCACUUUAGGAAUUUAAGUAGGGGAGAACAUAAUCAGAUUGGCAUUUUAGCAAUAUCCCUUCAACCAAAAUGUGGAAAUUGGACUGAGAGAGAAUGGAGGCAGGGAAGCCCCAUGGGAAGCUUGUGAGAAAGUGGGGACAGGAGCCAAGGCCAUGGGAGCUGGGGUGGAAAGGAUAAGACCCGACAGCACACGGCGGUUGUGUAGCUGUAGAGAGGGGAGCAGAGUCGUCACAUGGCGCCCAGGUUUCGACUGGGACAGUAACUGGGUAGGCAGUGGUCAAGAUGGGAAAUCAGUGGAGGGUCAGAACUGGAGACAGAAUGAGAUCCUUUGGGAAACAAUGAGUCUGAGCUAUCAGCGGGCAGAUGUGGGAAUGGAUGUGAAAAUUUGAGGUCCCCCUUACGGGGGUGCUACUGGACAUCAUAGGAAUAAGUGAGUCACCCAGACAGAGGGUGAAGAGUCAGAAGGGAAGACAACGACGCUGUCAACCUUCAAGGAUAUCUCUCUGUCGGCUAGGCUGGAGUGUAGUGGUGUGAUCAUCAUGGCUCACUGUGGCCUCAAACUCCUACUAUGGACAGGAGACAGGGAAAUACUGGGUAGAAGAGGACAGUUCCCCAGCAAAGGCCCCACCCUCAAGCCUGGAUACCCAUGGCCCUAAAUGGGAACAGGCAUUUCUGUUUUUGCACCCCAAAAGUUGACUUUUGGCCCACAUGCUCCCUAUCCUGUACCCAUAUAAACCCCAAAUUCCAGGCUCCAGAGAGAGACAAGGAGAUGAGGAGACAAGCAGACGAACAGCGGAACAAUGCAGCAGAGAAAGAGAGAAGAGAAGGAACGUCUGAACGUCGAGAGGAGUUCGGCUGCUGGACGGCCAAACUCCAGGGGAAGAUCAUCUUCCCACUCCAUUCCCCCUCCAGCUCCCCAUCCAUCCCACUGAGAGCCACUUCCACCACUCAAUAAAAGCCCCACAUUUAUCCUUCAAGUCCAUGUGUGAUCCAAUUCUUCUGGGAUGCUAAACAAGAACCUGGGAUACAGAAAGCUGUCACACUGGCCCUCUGCCCUUGCAGAAAGGCAGAGGGGCCCUGAGCUGGUUGAUACUUAAGCUGUCUGUGGAUGGCAGAACUAAAAGAGCAUUGG
rnacentral:lncRNA from 10 species